CCUACGGGUGACAGCAGUGAGGAAUAUUGGUCAAUGGACGGAAUUCUGAACCAGCCAAGCAGCGUGAAGGAUGACGGCUCUAUGGGUUGUAAACUUCUUUUAUAUGGGAGUAAAAUGUUCCACGUGUGGGGUUUUGUAUGUACCGUAUGAAUAAGGAUCGGCUAACUCCGUGCCAGCAGCCGCGGUAAUACGGAGGAUCCGACCGUUAUCCGGAUUUAGUGGGUUUACAGGGAGCGUAGGUGGUUUGUUAAGUUAGUUGUGAAAGUUUGAGGCUCAACCUUAAGAUUGCAGCUGAAACUGGCAGUCUAGAGUACAGUAGAGGCGGGCGGAAUUCGUGGUGUAGCGGUGAAAUGCUUAGAUAUCACGCAGAACACCGAUUGCGAAGGCAGCUCACUGGACUGGAACUGACACUGAGGCUCGAAAGUGUGGGUAUCAAACAGGAUUAGAUACCCCAGUAGUC
rnacentral:rRNA from 1 species